rnacentral:tRNA from 1 species
AGGGAUGUAGCUCAGUGGCACAGUACCUGCCUGGAAAGCAUGAGGUUCUGAGCUCGAUCCUCAGUACCCCCG